CCUACGGGAGGCAGCAGUAAGGAAUAUUGGUCAAUGGACGCAAGUCUGAACCAGCCAUGCCGCGUGGAGGAUGAAGGUCCUCUGGAUUGUAAACUUCUUUUAUAUGGGGCGAAACAGCGGGUUUCUACCUGCCUUGACGGUACCAUAUGAAUAAGCACCGGCUAACUCCGUGCCAGCAGCCGCGGUAAUACGGAGGGUGCAAGCGUUAUCCGGAUUCACUGGGUUUAAAGGGUGCGUAGGCGGGCAAUUAAGUCAGUGGUGAAAUCCUGGAGCUUAACUCCAGAACUGCCAUUGAUACUAUUUGUCUUGAAUUUCCUGGAGGUCAGCGGAAUAUGUCAUGUAGCGGUGAAAUGCUUAGAUAUGACGUAGAACACCUAUUGCGAAGGCAGCUGACUACGGGUAGAUUGACGCUGAGGCACGAAAGCGUGGGGAUCAAACAGGAUUAGAUACCCUGGUAGUCCACGCCCUAAACGAUGGAUACUCGACAUACGCGAUACACUGUGUGUGUCUGAGCGAAAGCAUUAAGUAUCCCACCUGGGAAGUACGACCGCAAGGUUGAAACUCAAAGGAAUUGACGG
rnacentral:rRNA from 1 species